rnacentral:rRNA from 1 species
AUGGCAUCGGGUCUCAGAGCUAAUGUUCAAAAAAGCCUUUUCCUGCCUAUCGCCUGCGAAAGUAUUGACCUCUGCUCCUUGCUUCACAGCUUCCCUGUGCCUCUUGGUCAGUUUCCAUGCAAGUACCUAGGCCUGCCUCUGCACUUUAAAAAGAUCACGAGGGCUGACAUUCAACCCACUCUUGAUAAGAUGGCUGCAAGGUUACAGAUAUGGAGGGGCAGGCUGAUGGCUCCGGAUGCCCGUCUCAGCCUGGUCAACUCAGUUCUAUCCGCUAUUCCAAUUCAUUUGCUCACGAUCUUCAAGCUAGACAGUUGGGUCAUCAAGCAGAUGGACAAGCUCAGGAGGAAUUUUCUUUGGCGGUCUAGGCCUAACAGCAGCAAGGGCCUGCCUCUGGUCAAUUGGAGCACCGUGUGCCGCCCCAAGCAUCUUGGUGGUCUUGGCAUCCUUGACAUCAGGAGGUUCAGUAGGGCCUUGCGCCUCCGCUGGAAAUGGUAUGAUUGGACGGAUAAGGCGCGGCCCUGGGCUGGCUCCGAGCUGUCGUGCGAUGAGGAGGACCUAGCCCUCUUCUCGGCAUGCACCACCAUUUCGCUUGGCAAUGGCCUCAAGGCCAGCUUCUGGCAUGACCGCUGGCUUGAGGGUCAGGCCCCUCGCACACUAGCUCCCGACAUCUUCAGGCUAUGUUACCAUAAGAGGAUCUCCGUUCAUGAUGCCGUUGAGAACGACAAGUGGCUGCUGGGGCUGCACCGUAUCUCUCAACAGGCUGAGCUCACCCAAUUCCUCUCCUUGUGGCACCAAGUCCAGCAGGUCACCUUAUCGGCUGGGACCGAGGACUCCAUAUCGUGGCUCUGGAACGACUCCAAACGGUAUUCAGCCGCCUCUGCUUAUCAAUGCCAAUUUGCUGGCUCCUUCAUCAACCUGCACUUUGAUAAGCUGUGGUCUGCCAAGGUUGAGCCCAAGUGUCAAUUCUUCAUGUGGCUAUGGCUACGCGGCCGGAUCCUAACCAAUGACAACCUGGCAACCAGAGGAAUCCCCCAGUCUGAAAUGUGCAACCUAUGUGACCAGCAAGAUGAGACUCCCCUUCACCUGAUUCUCCGCUGCCCCUUUGCUCGUGCCGUCUGGUUUCUUGUUGCGGCAGACCUAAAUUUCCCUGCCUUUGUCACGGCGGCCCAGCAGGCAGGCUCCAUUACUUCUUGGUGGGAGGACUUCGCUUGCAGUCUGGGAAAAAGAGAAAAAACUGCAGCUAUUUACACAGCUUGGAACAUCUGGAAGGAAAGAAACAGACGAGUCUUCGAUCAGAAGGUGCUUCAAGAAUCUGCCAUUCUACAGCUCAUUAGGCAGGACAUCUUACAGCCCGCUCUUUCUGUCCACUGGCUUUCUGAUGUGGAAAACAGCCCAGAACCUGAACCUGAUUGA